AGAGUUUGAUCAUGGCUCAGAACGAACGCUGGCGGCGUGCUUAACACAUGCAAGUCGAACGCGAAAGGGACUUCGGUCCCGAGUAGAGUGGCGCACGGGUGAGUAACGCGUAAGUAAUCUACCCCUGUAUCUGGAAUAACCCACCGAAAGGUGAGCUAAUACCGGAUACGUUUAUCUUGAUGCGAAUGAUGAUAAAGAAAGGUGGCCUCUUCAUGAAAGCUACCGUACAGGGACGAGCUUGCGUACCAUUAGCUGGUUGGUAGGGUAAUGGCCUACCAAGGCGACGAUGGUUAGCGGGUCUGAGAGGAUGAUCCGCCACACUGGAACUGAAACACGGACCAGACUCCUACGGGAGGCAGCAGUGAGGAAUAUUGCGCAAUGGGGGCAACCCUGACGCAGCGACGCCGCGUGGACGAUGAAGGCCCUUGGGUCGUAAAAUCCUGUCAGAUGGAAAGAAAUGUACAGGUGUUAAUAUCGCCUGUAUUUGACGGUACCAUCAAAGGAAGCACCGGCUAACUCCGUGCCAGCAGCCGCGGUAAUA
rnacentral:rRNA from 1 species